rnacentral:tRNA from 1 species
UGCGGGGUAGAGCAGUUUGGUAGCUCGUCGGGCUCAUAACCCGGAGGUCGCAGGUUCAAAUCCUGCCCCCGCUA